AACCAACAAAUAGCACGUGGAAUUGUUUAUAUAAUCUUAAGGUGAUGGGCACCGGGAAUAAGCUCGCAUGAGAGAUCCUAAGACCAAACACUAUUGCUCUUGGCCAUAAGUCAUUGUUAUUGUUGAAAUUAUGUGGAAGGGGCAUGUACAAUUACAACCUUUCUGUCCGCUCAUUGUUAGUAAUUCGUACCAAUUCAGCCGUUUCAGAAAUCGUGGUGAAAAUGUCGUCUGGCAGUCCGUCAAAGAAACUGAAAACAACACAUGAAUCAGUAAACAAGUCAGAAUUGAAAAAGUCAACGUCGGAUGAACGGACAGAAUUUAUAGAAAAGAUUCGCAACGACAGAGUGAAAGCAGCUCCAUCAAUAAAUGAAUUUAAAUUCAACAAGAAGCGAGUACAAAUAUUAUCAAAAGCAAGUGAAGUGCCAGAAUGGGCAGAGGGUGUUGUGUAUUGGAUGUCAAGAGACCAGCGAGUUCAAGAUAACUGGGCCUUGCUCUAUGCACAGAAGUUGGCUUUAAAAACUUCACUCUCACUUCAUGUUUGUUUCUGUUUGGUUCCCAAAUUUCUUGAUACUACAUAUCGACAUUACAGUUUCCUCUUGAAAGGAUUGCAAGAGGUUGAAGCAGAAUGUAAGAAACUGGCUGUUGAAUUUCAUUUACUCCUUGGUGAUCCGGUCAGCACCUUGCCACAGUUUUUGACACAGCAUAAAUUAGGAGCUGUUGUCACUGAUUUCUCACCAUUGAGGGAGCCUCGUAAAUGGGUGGAUGAUGUAAAGAAAUGUCUCCCAAAAGAUGUACCGUUAUGUCAGGUGGAUGCUCACAAUAUUGUCCCAUGCUGGAUUGCCUCAGAUAAAUUGGAAUAUGCUGCCAGGACAAUACGAAAUAAAAUUAAUAGCAAACUGCAAGAGUACUUAACACAAUAUCCACCUGUUGUGCCACAUCCUCAUUCACCUAAGAAGCAUGCUAUUGAAGCUAACUGGGUAGCAGCUGAAAAAUUCAUAGAAGCUGAUCGAAGUGUUCAGCCUGUGACUUGGGCAACUGCAGGCACUGAGGCGGGUCUUUUAAUGUUGCAUAAAUUUUGCACGAAGGGUCUAAAAAAUUAUGGUUCCAAGCGGAAUGAUCCGACAAUUGAUGCACUUAGCAACCUGUCUCCCUGGUUUCAUUUUGGCCAUAUCUCUGUUCAGAGAGCUAUUCUUGAAGUGAAGGCAUACAGAUCCAAAUACACAGAGUCAGUAGAUGCCUUCUGUGAGGAAGCAGUUAUCCGUCGAGAACUGUCAGAUAAUUUUUGUUUUUACAAUGAAAAGUAUGACAGUAUUGAAGGAACAAAUGCAUGGGCAUUGAAGACCCUUAAUGAUCACAGAAAGGACAAGAGGUCAUAUAUCUACACUUGUGAAGAAUUGGAGAAGUCUUUAACACAUGAUGAUUUAUGGAAUUCUGCCCAAAUUCAGUUAGUGAAGGAUGGAAAAAUACAUGGCUUCAUGCGUAUGUAUUGGGCAAAGAAGAUAUUGGAAUGGACACCAUCACCAGAAGAAGCUUUAAGAAUCUCAAUUUAUUUAAAUGAUAGAUAUUCAUUGGAUGGAGGAGAUCCUAAUGGAUUUGUAGGGUGCAUGUGGUCUGUGUGUGGAAUACACGAUCAAGGAUGGCUAGAGAGACCAGUUUUUGGAAAAAUACGGUACAUGAAUUAUGAAGGUUGCAAGCGAAAGUUUAAUAUUGCUGCAUAUGUAUUAAUGGAGCACCACAAAGAAGGCUUUACUCAUCACAAAGAAGGGAAACAUUAUAGAAGAAUAAAGAACUAACUGCAAACUAAAAGUUAAGAAGAAGUAGAUAAAAGAUGAGGAGCAAAUUUCCAACGGAAAAUAACUGAUCUAGAAUUAGGCACAGAAGAAAUGGGUGAUGUCUUUCUGUCCAUUUGAGACUUCAUUGGUAUUGGCAUGGGAACAGCCAGCAGGAUUGUUCAAAGGAUGUGUAUGAUACUGGGCAAAAUGCACAAGAGACAGUUUUUUUAAAAAAAUUAUUUCAGUUCUCUGGUGUAAUUAAAUGAAAUUAAAAUAAACAAAUGUGUAUGGGUUAA